rnacentral:misc_RNA from 1 species
GUUUGAGCUGUUUUCCACAUGUCCAUGCAUCGCCUGACCACACAAUAUCUGAAUUAUGUCCAUUCAAGUUCCUAGAAAGCCGGCCCUGUGUCUGUUGAGCACCAAAUGCAUUCACAGGAUAUUGAGGAGAUUCUAGAGUUUGCACUAAAUCAUGUUUUGGUGAUUUGGACCGAUCACUCUGUAGAUGCUGCUUUGAUAACAUAGACGUAAGCCAAUCCACAACCUCCCUCCUUGA